GAGAGGUUUUAUUCUUGCUGUUUUGUUCAGUAUUAUUUUGUUUUAUAUGCAAGUUCUUGCGGGUUUGUUUGAGGUUUUCUUGAUGGCUGUUAUUUAUGUGUUUUAAUUCGCAUUAUUUCGUUUUAUAUAUUUUGGUUGCAUUGAUUUAGUAAUAAUUUUAAUACCGGUUAAGUUUGUGCCAGCAGCCGCGGUUAUACAUUAGGUGUUAUUGAACAUUUUUGGUUGUGCAGUUCUAUUUUUGUUAAUUGGGUUGAUUGAAUUGGUUGUUUUGUUGGUGAAAUGAUUUUAUUCCUAGUUGGUGCUUGGUAAUUGUUUUUGUAAGCUGUGAAAUCUAUGUAUAGACUAGGAUUAGAUACCCUAUUAUUUUAGAUGUUAAUUAGUUUUCCUGGGUAGUAUUAGGUGUGUUCUUGAAACCCAAAGAAUUUGGCGGUAUUCUUUACUUUUCAGAGGAAUCUGCCCCGUGAUCGAUGAUCCACGUAGGACCUUACUUGAUAUUUGUUUGUAUACCGCCGUUUUACUGAGAAUCUUUUUAGUGGUUAAAUUUUCUGGUUUCAUUAUUGUGGUUUAUUUCAGGUCAAGGUGCAAUUUGUUUUCAAGUGUGAGGUGGAUUACAUUACGUUGUUGAGUUUGGAUUACUAGAUGGUAUUUUGGUAAGAAAUUGGAUUUGAUUGUAAUUUGCUGAAGAUUGUGUUAAUGAUAUUAGUUCUGGAGUAUGUACACAUCGCCCGUCGCUCUCAUGUUCAUUGAGAUAAGUCGUAACAAAGUGGUCGUACCGGAAGGUGUGGCUGGGUUGAC
rnacentral:ncRNA from 1 species